ensembl:lncRNA
GUAUCGGAAUGUCUGAUAUCAUUCAAAAUAUUUGCAAUCCGAUACUUAGAAAACAGCCAAACUGAUCAACACGCCUGAUUCUAGACGCAGACCUGUUACAUCAUCCUCCAACAUACUUAUCCAGGAUAUUCUGUGAAUAAACCUCGUGGCUCAGCCGAUUGCACCGGAGAUGGCGAGCGGAGCGGCGGCGCCGAGGUCACGCGGAGGGAAACGGAGGUUUUUGUUUCAGGCAGAGACCGAUCUCGCUCGGAGCGGCGUGAACGCGGCCGCGAUGAGAAGCUGCUGAUGGGACACGAUGUGCACGGAGAUACCAAGACGAGAGAGGAACUAAAGGAUUAUCGUCCUCCUCAGCCGAGAAACAUCCGCAGGCUAAAACCACCGAGAGCCCGGCUUGGAUCGCCAUUAAGCAGAGCUAAUGGACUGCGUGGAUGCCGCGGGUUUUUCCCUCCUUGCGCACAGCGCCGGUUGCUGCCAUCCACUUUUCCCUUCAAUCGAAUCUCAGUGAUGGAAAAAAACGACACGCGAUGAAAACAGAACUGCAUUGCAGAAGCAACCCUGGGUGAUGAUGACCAAGAACGUGUGGAAAGGUCGUGACGGACAGAUGAGCGGCUCGUUGACUGCGAGAUGGAACGGUGCUCCCUGCUCUACACCAGUUGGAACAUCAGCGUCUUGGCUACAACCUCCACUAAUCCGUCUGAAAACGCUCCAAACAACUCCAACAAGUUAGCAAAUGUGUUAUGCAAAUCAGUCCAGAUAAUUAGCAUAAGAUGUCUGUUUGUUAAAUCUUUUUUUUUGGUUACGCGAGCAUCGCGUCUCUUGAAGAGCGGAUUCAUGCACAAAACAAGCGGCGGCCAGACGCCUCCGAUCCUUCCCGUCGCCAGACGUUGAGAGGAAUCGGGAGAGGAAUCCACGGAGCUCAAGCAGCUGCUUCGUGAUCCAAACAAGAGGAGAGGACGCGCUCAUCGGGCUACCGGGAACAUUAGUUCAAGUCAAACUACUGGAUAAACAUGUCCAAACACCACAGUGCCAAGGGUCCAUUCAUCGGAAUCAUUGCUGGAAAUCAAAUGGAAUGUAAUCAAAACUCCAAAACCCAGCAAAUAUCAAACUGCCGUCAUUUAGAAGGAUGGAAUAAACAUUUCUUAUUUCACUUUGGAGUGAUCCGUGUUCACUCUUCCCCUCCACGCCGGCCUUCUAUCAAGCUGUUCCAGAGUAUUAGACGUACAAAACCUGC